rnacentral:rRNA from 1 species
CCUACGGGGGGCUGCAGUGGGGAAUAUUGGACAAUGGGGGCAACCCUGAUCCAGCCAUGCCGCGUGUGUGAAGAAGGCCCUCGGGUUGUAAAGCACUUUCAGUGAGGAAGAACGCCUGGUGGUUAAUACCCAUCAGGAAAGACAUCACUCACAGAAGAAGCACCGGCUAACUCCGUGCCAGCAGCCGCGGUAAUACGGAGGGUGCGAACGUUAAUCGGAAUUACUGGGCGUAAAGCGCGCGUAGGUGGCUUGAUAAGCCGGUUGUGAAAGCCCCGGGCUCAACCUGGGAACGGCAUCCGGAACUGUCAAGCUAGAGUGCAGGAGAGGAAGGUAGAAUUCCCGGUGUAGCGGUGAAAUGCGUAGAGAUCGGGAGGAAUACCAGUGGCGAAGGCGGCCUUCUGGACUGACACUGACACUGAGGUGCGAAAGCGUGGGUAGCAAACAGGAUUAGAUACCCCAGUAGUC